UACGUAGGAGGCAAGCGUUGUUCGGAUUCAUUGGGCGUAAAGGGUGCGUAGGCGGCGCGGUAAGUCGGGUGUGAAAUUUCGAGGCUUAACUUCGAAACUGCAUUCGAUACUGCCGUGCUUGAGGACUGGAGAGGAGACUGGAAUUUACGGUGUAGCGGUGAAAUGCGUAGAUAUCGUAAGGAAGACCAGUGGCGAAGGCGGGUCUCUGGACAGUUCCUGACGCUGAGGCACGAAGGCCAGGGGAGCAAACGGG
rnacentral:rRNA from 1 species